GGAGAAAGGCUUUGCUUGACAGUGGCUGGCACUGUCUUUCUGGCUGCAGAGUGAGCAACAGCAGAGCUGCCUCUGUACCUGCUACUUCUGCCAGGAGGCUGUCUCUCCUGGGACGAGCUGUACACGGCAGUGAUGAUGGCACCUGCCCCGGGAUGAAAGCAAACUGGUCCAUGCAGCAUGCUCAGUCCAGAAUGAUCCUCAGGGUGGAGUCCCAGUCAGGAUAACACCACCUGAUGAUGGCUCUGUCCUCCCACAGCCUGCUGGACAGAGAUAAAAGUGCAUGUGAAUCCAGGCUUCAAAAUUCAUCCAGAAGAUUUUCAUUCUGAGUAUGCUAAGAACCAGCAGCCCAUGGAGAUAAGGUCACAGUGUCUGGAAGCCAUCUUAAGUUCCCUGUGGGGGCUGAGAGCAGACACUUGGAGAGUUAGGCAGAGUGCUUACACAUUACACCACAUCUGCAAGUGGGGUGGUGAAACCAGCUGCUGUUCCUCCUUCCCGGAAGCCACCAGAUCAGGUCUCACAGGUUUCCAGCUGGAGUUGGAGAUCCAGUGCCCUCUCUCGCAUCCACUGUGAUUAGGAUGGCUCUGUGGACUCCCAUAAGCAUCAUUUCAGAGAGAGUGGAUGGGAUGAGCUAGCCAGGGAUUUAGAAUCCCCAGACCCUGCUCCAGUUACAGAAGGAUUGAACAUCUUUUCUUUGCCUCUGCUAGAGGCAAUCCCAGGCAAGUGGGAUGGGAAGGCAGGCUGUAGAAUGUGUGUCACUGGGAAGCAACAUAAGCAGCUGGAGCCUAACCCCACUGGAGAGUGCUGGGAGCCCUUGUAGACUUCACCUUGGAGCAAACCUAAAUAUCCCUGAGGCAAAUGAAUGCCUCUGGCAGAGUAAGGAGGAGAUCAGAGUGAACAAAUGCAAAAGGUCCAUAGGUCUUGAGAAAAGAAUCAUCUACAUGGCACAGUAGGCCUCUGCAGGAUGUGUCUUGGAAUCUUGGAGUGACUGCACACUAAAUGACGUGAGAAGGCUAGAACUGCCACAGCAGGUGAUAGAAGAGGAACUGAUAGGCUCGGAGAAGUGGACAUGCUUAGGAUGGCUAGGAAAGUCCUGACUGGAGACACACUGUGGAAGAGCCUGGAAGGAACACUGAUCUCACAAGCGGCAAGAGAUGUCCGGGUAAGAGAGCGUUACUAAGGAACCCCAAGGUAGCCUCCUUCCUCUUGGGAAGCUUAGACUAGGAGACACUGCCAAGAAAUUGAACUCCCUAUAGCCAUGGAAGCAAUAAGGCCCGGAAAUAUUGAAGACCAGGUGGUGGUGUGGAACAGCUCAAAGCAAAGUGAAUGCAAUGUCAAUGACCAUAACAGACAAUGUGGUUGGAUGGCAAUCAGAGGGGCCUGGGCUACAGACAGCUGUGGAAGCAAUUCAUGAAGCAAGUGUUCCUGGGAACAGGGACGGAGAGCCAAAAAGCGGCUGGCUUCAUCUAUAAAGCCAAAAGAAGUACCCCAUGUAAACAUUUUGCAGAGUCUCACACUGGUCCACUGUAUUGGUAACAUGUUCACCAGACAUAAUGAGUAAGAAGUGGAGGGUAUAUUGGAGAUCUUGCAAAACAUGAGUAUUCUAGAGAAGGAGAUAAACCUAAUGAAGAUCCAGGUUUCUAGAUAAUCUGGGAUGCAUCAAGAUAUCUUAAAUAGGCACAUUAUGGGUGCUUGGUCACCUCAGAACUAAGAAGGAAACACAAUGUCUGCAAGCCCUCCAGGGCUUCUGGUACAAUAUAUGCCAUAUUUGUGCAUGACUUUUGUUCUAUACAUGAGUGACACAAAUGUUACUAGCUUUCAAGGAGGCCCAGCACAUAAGACAACUGUGCAAUAGGUGUGUAACAAGGUGCAGAUGCCUUGGAUCUCGGCCACACAACCCUCCAUGAAGACAGUGCCAGCUAUUUCAGGGGUGGGAAAAGACAUCUCGUGGAGUGUAUAGCAAGGUAUGGUAAAGGGAUUGUGACAUAGAUCCCUGGGGUUCUGGAGUAAGGCCUUGCCUUGUACAGUGGAGAACUAUGCACUAUACAUAGGCCACUUCUAUGACAUUUAGUGGCUCCAGUAGAGGCACAGUGCCUGACUAUGUGGCCAAUACUGUCCCUUGUUGAGUUCAGAUCUGUCAGAAUUACAAGGCAGAAAGUAGGGUGGGCCAGACAGCAAUCCACUGUAAAACAAAGGUGGCCCUUCUGGCAUUGGAAUAUGUUUGGCUAGAAAGUAAACAGAAUUAUCAUGCAGUUCAGAUUCCAACACUGUUGAGUCCAAGCCACUUCCUCAGCUCAUAGCUUUGGCCAAAAGAAGGUCUCAGUGAUCAGCCAAUGGAGGGGGAAAUUUAAUUUAUGAAUAUUUUUGAUUAUAUAAAGAUUCAAAAUGGACUAACUCUGUACUACAGCUUCACUCAGGGUGGCCCUAAAGAGAGAAGAAGGUGGCCAUUCUCCCAAGGAUCAAUUUUGGGUAGUUUAGUUGGAAAUUUACUUAGUGUGAAGAAGUAGCUUGAUCUAAGAAUAUUCAUGAAUUUGUGGGUAAGAUGUGUGAGUUGGCUGGCUGAUCAGGACUCUCACAGCAGCUAAGGAAUGGAUGAUUUGGGUUUGUGACCCAGCCAGUUGCACUGUGUGCAUCCUGGGACUCUGGUUCAGAGGAUGCCAUAAGGUUUCUAGAAAAUAAAAGAUGACAUUGAGGUCAAAUUCAUUAGUCAUACUGGCUAACAGGAUAAACAGAUUUCUUUACCUUGGAUGACUGGGGAGGUCUCUGCAUCAUAUGAAAGCCAUGAUGCCCAGAGCCUACUGUAAGGAAGCCUGUGCUUGUUUCUCCUUGGCAGUGGCCUGUAUGGGCUGUGCGGACAGGUAGCAGCACCUGGCACCUGCAUGUCCUUAUGUGAUCAGAGACUGAGUUGUGCAAAUGGGCGGAGUACUUCCCUGCUCAGACAAAGCUUUCUGCUCUAGAAGUUUGCUUCUCUUACCAAAUCAGGAAACAAAAUCAGAUUUUUUUUCCUUUGUAAACAUUAUUUUACAUUUUUAUUAUAACUCUUGAUACAUAUUAAUUGUAAAAUUAAUGGAAUUCUCUGUAAAAUUAAUGGAUAUAUGUAUGCAGCAUGAAUUGAUUUCUCACUGAACUGUGUGCUUACUGGUGCUUUCUACAAGGGAAAGGAGAAGGGUUGCUAAGUCAUCCGAGGUGCCAGGACUUUGUCCACUGGGUUUAAUUCCCCCCUGUAAAUUGAGCCCUCACCUGUCAAUGGUAUAUGUUGCCCAGAAUGCUUACUAAAACCUGUAUUUUAGGUUUGUCCUGUUUUCAUUUUUUGGCAGUUUAUCCCAUUAGGAAUAGUCAUAGUAAUAUGUUGAGUACUCAAGGAAACAGCUUCUUAAAUAUCUAGUGAUGAUAUUUUUAUGCAAAACGCUAAGCAAUGCACUACUAAUUGG